UAAUUUAUUAGCAGAAGAAACUAGGGUAGUGUAACAACAUACUCGAAUGAUAAAAGUCGUUUGAUUAACCUUAAUGACAAACGUUUAGCAGAGAUAUUCAAAGUUGGACAAAGUGUAGCAAGAUAAAAGUAAGCGAUAGCUGCACCUAUUCAAUUAAAAAAGCUUUGAUUGUUGCACUAUAAAGCGUAGUCAUAUAGUGGUCAAUACCCUGAACCACUUUGUAUGAGAAACUAGGUAUUGGAAGCAGAAAAUGAGGAGAACUCGGAUAUUAAUACCUAUUCCAUUUUUGCUAUGAUUCAGUCAAGCUAAUAUGAACGACAUUCAUUUUCUGGCAUUCAUCAUACUUUCAAUAUUGGUCUUGCCUUUACAAUUUAUUAAGUGAUUUCUUUCCAGCUUGUAUCUGGUAUAAUGUUGUCUUAUUCUGUAAAUCUCACUACCCGAUCGCCAUCUUUGUUCCAGAGAAAAUAAAGUAACUGUAUUAUACU